rnacentral:tRNA from 1 species
GGGAAUGUACCUCAGUGGUAGAGUGCUUGCCUAACAUGCACAAGACCCAGGGUUCAAAUCCCAGCAUCCCA